GGUUAAGCGACUAAGCGUACACGGUGGAUGCCCUGGCAGUCAGAGGCGAUGAAGGACGUGCUAAUCUGCGAUAAGCGUCGGUAAGGUGAUAUGAACCGUUAUAACCGGCGAUUUCCGAAUGGGGAAACCCAGUGUGAUUCGUCACACUAUCAUUAACUGAAUCCAUAGGUUAAUGAGGCGAACCGGGGGAACUGAAACAUCUAAGUACCCCGAGGAAAAGAAAUCAACCGAGAUUCCCCCAGUAGCGGCGAGCGAACGGGGAGCAGCCCAGAGCCUGAAUCAGUGUGUGUGUUAGUGGAAGCGUCUGGAAAGGCGUGCGAUACAGGGUGACAGCCCCGUACACAAAAAUGCACAUGCUGUGAGCUCGAUGAGUAGGGCGGGACACGUGGUAUCCUGUCUGAAUAUGGGGGGACCAUCCUCCAAGGCUAAAUACUCCUGACUGACCGAUAGUGAACCAGUACCGUGAGGGAAAGGCGAAAAGAACCCCGGCGAGGGGAGUGAAAAAGAACCUGAAACCGUGUACGUACAAGCAGUGGGAGCACAGAGCAAUCUGUGUGACUGCGUACCUUUUGUAUAAUGGGUCAGCGACUUAUAUUCUGUAGCAAGGUUAACCGAAUAGGGGAGCCGAAGGGAAACCGAGUCUUAACUGGGCGUUAAGUUGCAGGGUAUAGACCCGAAACCCGGUGAUCUAGCCAUGGGCAGGUUGAAGGUUGGGUAACACUAACUGGAGGACCGAACCGACUAAUGUUGAAAAAUUAGCGGAUGACUUGUGGCUGGGGGUGAAAGGCCAAUCAAACCGGGAGAUAGCUGGUUCUCCCCGAAAGCUAUUUAGGUAGCGCCUCGUGAAUUCAUCUCCGGGGGUAGAGCACUGUUUCGGCAAGGGGGUCAUCCCGACUUACCAACCCGAUGCAAACUGCGAAUACCGGAGAAUGUUAUCACGGGAGACACACGGCGGGUGCUAACGUCCGUCGUGAAGAGGGAAACAACCCAGACCGCCAGCUAAGGUCCCAAAGUCAUGGUUAAGUGGGAAACGAUGUGGGAAGGCCCAGACAGCCAGGAUGUUGGCUUAGAAGCAGCCAUCAUUUAAAGAAAGCGUAAUAGCUCACUGGUCGAGUCGGCCUGCGCGGAAGAUGUAACGGGGCUAAACCAUGCACCGAAGCUGCGGCAGCGACGCUUAUGCGUUGUUGGGUAGGGGAGCGUUCUGUAAGCCUGCGAAGGUGUGCUGUGAGGCAUGCUGGAGGUAUCAGAAGUGCGAAUGCUGACAUAAGUAACGAUAAAGCGGGUGAAAAGCCCGCUCGCCGGAAGACCAAGGGUUCCUGUCCAACGUUAAUCGGGGCAGGGUGAGUCGACCCCUAAGGCGAGGCCGAAAGGCGUAGUCGAUGGGAAACAGGUUAAUAUUCCUGUACUUGGUGUUACUGCGAAGGGGGGACGGAGAAGGCUAUGUUGGCCGGGCGACGGUUGUCCCGGUUUAAGCGUGUAGGCUGGUUUUCCAGGCAAAUCCGGAAAACUAAGGCUGAGGCGUGAUGACGAGGCACUACGGUGCUGAAGCAACAAAUGCCCUGCUUCCAGGAAAAGCCUCUAAGCAUCAGGUAACAUCAAAUCGUACCCCAAACCGACACAGGUGGUCAGGUAGAGAAUACCAAGGCGCUUGAGAGAACUCGGGUGAAGGAACUAGGCAAAAUGGUGCCGUAACUUCGGGAGAAGGCACGCUGAUAUGUAGGUGAAGCGACUUGCUCGUGGAGCUGAAAUCAGUCGAAGAUACCAGCUGGCUGCAACUGUUUAUUAAAAACACAGCACUGUGCAAACACGAAAGUGGACGUAUACGGUGUGACGCCUGCCCGGUGCCGGAAGGUUAAUUGAUGGGGUCAGCGCAAGCGAAGCUCUUGAUCGAAGCCCCGGUAAACGGCGGCCGUAACUAUAACGGUCCUAAGGUAGCGAAAUUCCUUGUCGGGUAAGUUCCGACCUGCACGAAUGGCGUAAUGAUGGCCAGGCUGUCUCCACCCGAGACUCAGUGAAAUUGAACUCGCUGUGAAGAUGCAGUGUACCCGCGGCAAGACGGAAAGACCCCGUGAACCUUUACUAUAGCUUGACACUGAACAUUGAGCCUUGAUGUGUAGGAUAGGUGGGAGGCUUUGAAGUGUGGACGCCAGUCUGCAUGGAGCCGACCUUGAAAUACCACCCUUUAAUGUUUGAUGUUCUAACGUUGACCCGUAAUCCGGGUUGCGGACAGUGUCUGGUGGGUAGUUUGACUGGGGCGGUCUCCUCCUAAAGAGUAACGGAGGAGCACGAAGGUUGGCUAAUCCUGGUCGGACAUCAGGAGGUUAGUGCAAUGGCAUAAGCCAGCUUGACUGCGAGCGUGACGGCGCGAGCAGGUGCGAAAGCAGGUCAUAGUGAUCCGGUGGUUCUGAAUGGAAGGGCCAUCGCUCAACGGAUAAAAGGUACUCCGGGGAUAACAGGCUGAUACCGCCCAAGAGUUCAUAUCGACGGCGGUGUUUGGCACCUCGAUGUCGGCUCAUCACAUCCUGGGGCUGAAGUAGGUCCCAAGGGUAUGGCUGUUCGCCAUUUAAAGUGGUACGCGAGCUGGGUUUAGAACGUCGUGAGACAGUUCGGUCCCUAUCUGCCGUGGGCGCUGGAGAACUGAGGGGGGCUGCUCCUAGUACGAGAGGACCGGAGUGGACGCAUCACUGGUGUUCGGGUUGUCAUGCCAAUGGCACUGCCCGGUAGCUAAAUGCGGAAGAGAUAAGUGCUGAAAGCAUCUAAGCACGAAACUUGCCCCGAGAUGAGUUCUCCCUGACUCCUUGAGAGUCCUGAAGGAACGUUGAAGACGACGACGUUGAUAGGCCGGGUGUGUAAGCGCAGCGAUGCGUUGAGCUAACCGGUACUAAUGAACCGUGAGGCUUAACCUU
rnacentral:rRNA from 1 species